rnacentral:rRNA from 1 species
UACGAAGGGGGCUAGCGUUGUUCGGAUUUACUGGGCGUAAAGCGCACGUAGGCGGAUUGUUAAGUCGGGGGGUGAAAUCCUGGAGCUCAACUCCAGAACUGCCUUCGAUACUGGCAAUCUCGAGUCCGGAAGAGGUAAGUGGAACUCCCGGUGUAGUGGUGAUAUGCGUAGAUAUCGGGAGGAACACCAGUGCGAAGGCGGCUUCUGGGCCUUAC